GCUCUGACAUUUGUCAGCCCACUGAUCACCAGGGUUGAUCUGGCUGAUCUGGCUGGCAAGGUAGGGGGUGCCCUUCUCC